GAUGAACGCUGGCGGCGUGCCUAAUACAUGCAAGUCGAGCGAACAGACGAGGAGCUUGCUCCUCUGACGUUAGCGGCGGACGGGUGAGUAACACGUGGAUAACCUACCUAUAAGACUGGGAUAACUUCGGGAAACCGGAGCUAAUACCGGAUAAUAUUUUGAACCGCAUGGUUCAAUAGUGAAAGACGGUUUUGCUGUCACUUAUAGAUGGAUCCGCGCCGCAUUAGCUAGUUGGUAAGGUAACGGCUUACCAAGGCAACGAUGCGUAGCCGACCUGAGAGGGGGAUCGGCCACACUGGAACUGAGACACGGUCCAGACUCCUACGGGAGGCAGCAGUAGGGAAUCUUCCGCAAUGGGCGAAAGCCUGACGGAGCAACGCCGCGUGAGUGAUGAAGGUCUUCGGAUCGUAAAACUCUGUUAUUAGGGAAGAACAAAUGUGUAAGUAACUAUGCACGUCUUGACGGUACCUAAUCAGAAAGCCACGGCUAACUACGUG
rnacentral:rRNA from 1 species